UACGUAGGGGGCAAGCGUUGUCCGGAUUUAUUGGGCGUAAAGAGCGUGUAGGCGGCCAGGUAGGUCAGCUGUGAAAACUCGAGGCUCAACCUCGAGACGCCGGUUGAAACCAUCUGGCUAGAGUCCGGAAGAGGAGAGUGGAAUUCCUGGUGUAGCGGUGAAAUGCGCAGAUAUCAGGAGGAACACCGGUGGCGAAGGCGGGUCUCUGGGCCGAUACUGACGCUGAGGAGCGAAAGCGUGGGGAGCGAACAGG
rnacentral:rRNA from 1 species